rnacentral:lncRNA from 1 species
AUGAAUCAUUGUUGAGUGCUUCCUUUCACUAUUCCUUGCAUAAAAAGAUCAAGAGUUAGUUUAAGGAACAUAAGCAAGUUUGGGUCCCUUGUAGUAGGAAAGAUGAUGAAUAAGACCUUUUUUAGUCCAUGCAGGUAAUAUGCAUUUUUGUGGAACCUGGUCCUCUUUUAGUAGUUACAUUUUCACCAACCAUUCUGUUUUUCUUAGUGAACUGGACCCUGGUUUGACAAUUUUCCAUGAAAUGUCCAUUGUUCCCAUAGUGGGUACUCAACUAAUUUUCGGGUGCAGUCACACAUUUACUAAGUGGGUUUUAAGGGGUUUUCUCCCUUUGGAACUCUAUUCCUUGCAUGUUUCCACCAUUAUUAGUGUUCAUGGUAGUGAUAACUUCGUAGGACCAGGUCCACUUUAGGGACUAUUCAGCAUCACUUUUUACUUCUUCCCGUUAAGUUUGGAGGUGCUUGUUUUUAUCAGUUUCAGCACACAUCCAAGUUCUCACAGGUUUGAACUCAUUUUCAAGCCUAAUGUGUUCCUCACUGGCUAUCUCAUUUCCUUUUCCAGUAUUUCCAAGUUUAGACUUAGUUCUUAGUCCCUUCAUUGUUUUCCCCAAGUGUUCAAUUUCUACCAAGAGAUCAUUUCUUUCUUCCUCAAUUUUAGUCACUCUUCUUCCUUGGGCCUCAUUUGCUUCACUAAAGUUCUCAAUAGAUUCCUUAUGGUCAAGAACUACUACAACUAAUUCAUUUUUUUUCUCUUCAACUCACAAAUGGUUUCCUUCAGAUCCACUACACACGCUACCAAAUCAUCUAUGAUUUUAUCAGAUUCCCUUAGUUCUAAGGUCAAGUCAUAUUUAUCCUUCACAAGGUUAUGAUACGCACAAAUAAAUACAUUAGCUAAAGACAUAAGUUUCUUAGGAGUGUAGGAUUUCAGAUUUCUCUAAACAUCCCUGAAAGUUACCUUUUUGUUGUCAUUGUCUUUAUUAUCAUCUAAUUGGGCAAUCAAAGCAAACGUUGAGUCAUAUUCAUUUUCCUCGCUUUCAACUGCCAUCAUGGAACUAUCACCAGUAUCAAUUUUAUCUUCAGACGCACUAGAGGAAUCCCCCCAUGUUGCACGAGCUUGUUUCACCACAUUGUCAGCAUAUCUCAUUUUUUUGAAGUCCUUGAGAGGAACCGAGUUCUUCUUAGCUACUUUUUUACGGUUGUCUUGGAGAAUUCUUGCUUCAAGAGAGGAAAGUCUUUGAUGAAGUGUCCAAGAUUUCCACACUUAUGACAGAGAUCAUAAUUUUUUGGUUUGCUAGAGUUGCCCCUUUUUAGCAUUUCCCAAUUUCUUUUGAGAAUCUUCUGAAAUUUUUAGGUUGAGUAAACCAUGUUACUGUCUUCCUCACUUGAUUUAUUUCCAUCACUUUAGAGUACCAGGUUUUUUAUUUCUUUGGUUCUCUUCUUUCAUUGUCUAUCUUCCUUUUCAUCUCGUAGGUCUUCAGAUUUCCAAUCAGCUCUUUUAUGGUCAGCUUUUGUAAGUCCUUCGACUCAGUAAUAAUAUUUACCUUGCUUUCCCAAGGGCUAGGCAGAAUAUCGGGAAUUUUCCUCACUAGCUUAACCCUUGAUGCAGAUGUAGAGGUUAAGCUUGAUGCUCAAGCUAUCCCCAAGAGAGCGAGUCGUAAGUAUCAUGAGUCUAUUAUCCAAGGUAAUUGGGACAUUGAAAAAGAUGUUGCACAUCGCAUUGGAGCGGGAUGGAUGAAGUCGAGGCUCGCUUCCGGUGUUUUGUGUGAUAGGGAUGUUCAACUAAGACUUAAGGGUAAGUUUUAUCGAGUGGUGGUUCGACCGUUUAUGUUGUAUGGGAUUGAGAGUUGUCCGGUCAAGAACUCCCAUUUGUAGAAGAAGAGAGUAGCUGAGAUGAGGAUGUUGAGAUGGAUGUGUGGGCGUACCAGGAGAGAUAGGAUUAAGAAUGAAUCUAUCUGCCACAUAGUGGUAGUAUCCUCCAUGGAUGACAAGAUGUAGGAGUCAAGGAUGAGAUUGUUCGGACAUGUUAAGAGAAGAAGCAUCGAUACUCCUCUCAGGAGGUGUGAGAGGUUGGCAUAGAGAGUUAGAGAACAGGUCAAGGUAGGCCUUAGAAGUAAUGGGAAGAGGUGAUUACACGACACGGCGCUGCUCCAGCUCACUAAGGACAUGACCCUUGAUACGAAAGGGUGUGGAGGUUGAGGAUUAAGGUAGAAUGUUUAUAGGUAGUUUAUAGUUUUUCACCGAUAGUAUUAGUAGCAUGCAUGUCUCUUCAUAUUCUUAGAUUUCUAUUAUGUUAUGUGAUUGUAUUUGCCUCAUGUAUUGUAUUCCCUGCUGCUAUUAUUUGGUACUACUUAUCCUUUUGUUCCCCCUUCCCCCCUUUUCUUUUCUCUACAUUCCUUUCUUUCAACUUCUUCUUCUUGUUCUUCCUGAGCCGAGGGUCUACUAUAGACAGACUCUCUACCUGCAUUAGGUAGGGCUAAAGUCUGCGUACAAACUACCCUCGCUGCCCCCACCUGUUGGGAUCAAACUAGGUUUGUUUUUGUUGUAGCUUGUUCCUAGGAAUGGUUUCACCAAGUGAGUAUAAAUAAUUUAUGAUGGAAGUGAAUCUUGUGUGCAUAUCUUGAAUAGAUUUGUUGUCUUUUAUCCUAAAGAGUUCAUACUCGAUAGUGGCCAUAUAGAUCUUAGAUUGUUUUACUUGGUGUGAGCACAUGAUUUUUGCCCUUAUGAAUUACUCCCAUAAAAUAUCCGAAAAUAAUUUUUCCCAAAUUUUGCAAUUUUAUUAGAUUUUUCGUAGAAUUUGUUUAAUUAUUUUCAUUAAUGUGCAUAUUUAAUUACCAUUAAAAAAUAAAAAAACCUACCAAAAAUACCAUGCAUUGCAUUUAGAUUUUUGUUCACAUUUUAGGAUUAAGUAAUUAGUUAGUUAUUUUAUAAAAGUCAAAAUCACAAAAAAUAUUUCAUUUUUACACUUUUUCCUUUUAUUGAUUUUUUCUCUUUUAAUUUAGGAUUAAGUAAUAAUUAGCUAAUUAGUUUAAUUUCAUACUUUUGAAUAAUUUAGGGUUUUUAAUGAAAAGAAAAGGGGAAAAUUAGAAAAUAAAAGAAUGGAAAUUGAAAAAAAAAUUAAUUUGAAUUUGGGACCAAAUUCUAAACCCAAAUCGGUUCAACCCAUGCCCAAAAGCUAAAAUGACCCAUUAGCCCAAUCUCCCCACCCAACCUGCUUGAUCCUCCAUGAGUUAGAGACACGGAAAUAACAUGUCCCUAUCCCCAUCGUUUUCACUGGGGGCGUACAAAGGAAACCGACAAACCGCACCAAUCCGAUUAUCCGAGUCAAACCGAGAAAAAAAUCUGACCAUGAUUUGGUUUGAUUUGGUUUGGUGUUGGAAAAAAAAACUCGACCAUAAUUGGUUUGGUUUGGUUUUAACUAAAGAAAGUCAAACCGAAACCAAACCAAACCGACAUUACAUGUAUAGAACUUUUAGAUAUAUUUAAUAUAUAAAUAUACUUAUUGUGAAGUAUUUAUAAAUAUUUCUUAAACAAAUUCAUAAUUUUAUCUUUAAGGUAUUAUUUCAAGGUUGAACUUAGAACUUUUUGAAUGUUACAAUAAAUUUUAUAACCAUUAAUAUUAUUAAAUUAAAUAAUGCUAACAAAAGCGAAAUUAAAACCAAAACCAAAUCAAUAUUAAUGCUAACAAAAGACAUUCAAUUCAAUACUAUGAACGAGAAUGUAUUGAAUAUCUAUUUUUUAUUUUGCAAUGAUUUAGAUAAAUGCACAACCUAUUUUUAUUUUUCUUUAGCGUUAGUCAUGUAAUUAAUAUUCCCUUAUUAGUCUACUUAUUUUAGCAUGACUUAGCAUUUUUAGAUUAUUUUUAUUUUUAUUGUAGCUUUUUAAUUAGCAAUAUUGAUAUUACAUAAUUUUCUUGUCUUUAUUGUUGAAUAUUUUAGGACAAUACCAUGACACAUCUCAUAUUUUAUAUUAUUUUCUUGGAAAAUAAUUUAUAUAGUUGUAUCUUACUAGGAUUAAAGAAAUAUUUUGAGCAAAAUUUAUAUGCUUUAUUCUAUGAAGAUUUUAUUCGAAAAAUUUAGAAAAAACCCGAAUAACUCAAAAACCCAAAAAAACCCGAAUAAAUCCGAGAACGAAAAACUCAUAUUGGUUUGAUUUGGUAUUUAGAUUUAAUAACCCGACAUAAUAUGUUUUGUUUGGUAAUUGUAAAAUUCGAAUCAAACCGGCCCAUGUACACCCCUAAUUUUCACCAUUUCGAAGAUCUUCAAAUAAACGGAAUACCUCUUUCCAAGGAUCACACACAGAGGACCCCUGUCUCCAUUCUUCAUUUUUCUCCGACGCCUGAGCGUAGCAGCCAUAGCCAUCGUGCUUCUACUUCUUUCCAUUUACAACACCUGAAAUAUGAAUCUACCUCUUGCUUAAGUUCCGAUCUCCGGUCCCAAAUAUGGAGUACGGUUAGGUUCGAGUUGAGAUUGAUGUUCCGGCACGGUUCGAGUGUUGUUGUCGUUUGGCAUUUCAUUUUGUGAGGAACAAGCUCCUGCGGUCCAUUCAAUUGUAUUUCAGAUCUGAAAUCCUUGUAAUUGUUGGGAGUACUCGUCAAUUGUAAGACUAUUUCAGUCGAAUUUUUGAAUCGGAGCUGAUGUACCUUUUGAUUGUUUUCCUUUAGUAUUGAGAAUAUUUUGGGCUACCAGAGUUACAGAUAGAUAUUUUGCUCAAUUUUGUUGCGUAGGAGUUUCAAAAAAAUCCAAGCGUGUGAGUUUCGAAUUCAAUAUUGAGCUCGGUUGACGGUAGUCCGUUCCAAAUUUGACGAGGUUGCCUGAUUCGACUCGCGCUGAUUCUGUUUGAAGUCGACGUUCGAGUCUUCUAAGGCUCCAAAGUUCCGAUCCGGGAUUCUGUCGCCGUUUGAAUUGUAAUCGCUAGCUCAAAUUUAGGCUGUGGCAUUUAUCUGGUUAUUUCCAUGCUCUGUUGUCAUGUUGUGAAUAUUUUAUGGCCAAACUAUAACAUAUAUUGACUAGUUUUGUUCUCUGGCCGAGUUGGUUUAUUUCACUGAUAUUGAGAUCAUGGAAAUUUAGUACAUUUUUCUUCUCCUUUUCUUUUGUUAGUCAAAACUUAAAGUUAUAAGAUUAUGUGGAUAGUUAGAUAGAGCUAGAAGGGUUUGUUAAAUGUCUAGAUAUGUUCUGCUAGUACCAUAAUAUGCUU